CUGGAAUCGCAAGAUCCCACAAACCCCUGUGAACCUACCGAAACGUUGCCUCGGCGGGUGGCCCGGCCCUGCGCCGGGCGCUGCGCCCGCCGGCGGGCCCCCUACUCUUGUCUCCUCUGCAGCGUGGCAUCUCAGAGUCCCAGAAAACAAGUCA
rnacentral:misc_RNA from 1 species